AGGAGGAGGUAUGCACAAGGCAUCCAACUUCUGGUCAUUGAACCUCUCCAUUCUCAUCAUGAAAUAGAUCCAAAUCAUCUGUUGCAUACCAAGCCUGGAGGCCAUCGACAUCACCAGAUGUGGCAUAUGUGCACAUCAAGCAAGCCUGUGCAGUGGAGCCCAGAAGAGGGCAUUGGAUCUCCUGAAAUGAAUUACAGAUGUUUAGAAGUAGCUGCUGGAAAUCAAACCCAAGCCUUCUGGAAGAGCAGCCAGUGUUCUUAACCACUGAGCCAUGUCUCUAUCCCGAAAAACUGUGCCUUAACAAAAUCAAUACUCAUUUACUUAUAUUAAAAUCUUUCAUAUUAACACCUUACAAGCAACUAUUUAAAGUGAUUUUGAUACAAUUAGUACCCUAUGUCAGUGAUUCUCAAACUUCCUAAUGCUGUGGCCCUGCAUGUGGGGAGACUCACCUGAAGACACCCAGAGGAGCAGUGUCUCAGUUCCUAAGAGCAUCAGAAAUGUGUGUGUUCCAAUGGCCUUACACAACUCCUGUAGGCAUUGUGACCAACAGAUUGAGGACUACUACCCAAUGUAACCCAAUGGGGAGGGAGAGACUUGGGAGGGGCAGGUCGAUCUCUGGGUGUGAGGCCAGCCUGAUCUACAUACUGAGUUCCAGGACAGCCAGCGCUAUGUAGACAGACUGUCUUCCAAAAACAAAAAACAAAAACAAUAUGCCACGAACUAAAAAUAUGUAGACUUGUAUGUCUAAACUCUACUUACUAUGCAAAAGUUUACCGAAUUAGAGACAUUAAUUUAUUA